rnacentral:rRNA from 1 species
CACGUAGGCGGGUCGUUAAGUCAGGGGUGAAAUCCCGGAGCUCAACUCCGGAACUGCCUUUGAUACUGGCGAUCUAGAGAUCGAGAGAGGUGAGUGGAAUUCCGAGUGUAGAGGUGAAAUUCGUAGAUAUUCGGAAGAACACCAGUGGCGAAGGCGGCUCACUGGCUCGAUACUGACGCUGAGGUGCGAAAGCGUGGGAGCAAACA